rnacentral:rRNA from 1 species
UUGCCUACGGGACGCAGCAGCCGCGGUAAUACGGAGGAUGCGAGCGUUAUCCGGAUUUAUUGGGUUUAAAGGGUGCGCAGGCGGAGGUGCAAGUCAGUGGUCAAAUUGCGGGGCUCAACCCCGUACUGCCGUUGAAACUGCAUCCCUUGAGUGCGCGAGAAGUAUGCGGAAUGCGUGGUGUAGCGGUGAAAUGCAUAGAUAUCACGCAGAACUCCGAUUGCGAAGGCAGCAUACCGGCGCGCAACUGACGCUCAUGCACGAAAGCGUGGGUAUCGAACAGGAUUAGAAACCCUAGUAGUCCGAAG